rnacentral:rRNA from 1 species
UACGAAGGGGGCGAGCGUUGUUCGGAAUUACUGGGCGUAAAGGGCUUGUAGGUGGCCAACUAAGUCAGACGUGAAAUCCCUCGGCUUAACCGGGGAACUGCGUCUGAUACUGGAUGGCUAGAGAUUGGGAGAGGGAUGCGGAAUUCCAGGUGUAGCGGUGAAAUGCGUAGAUAUCUGGAGGAACACCGGUGGCGAAGGCGGCAUCCUGGACCAACACUGACACUGAAAAGCGAAAGCCAGGGGAGCAAACGGG